ACAUUUUCUUCAGGAUUUUUGAUUCAAAAGUGUUACAAAUCCUACUCUAUGGGGCUGAAGUCUGGGGGUUGGAUUGUGAUAUUAGUUCACCAAUCGAGAAAGUUCAAACUCUGGCUUGUAAAUAUCUGCUUUGUGUCAAAAUAUCAACCCCUAAUCACAUCGUUCGGGGUGAGUGUGGCAGAUACCCUGUCUAUGUUUAUGCUUACAAACGUUGUAUUAAAUAUUGGUAUAAAAUGUUGAAUAUGCCAGUAUCUCUUAGUCGUUGCACAUG